CGGAGGAUGUACGGUGAAGAGAUUUCGGUCAAAUCAUGUGCAUCUUUAGUGGCGGACGGGUGAGUAACGCGUGGGUAACCUGCCUUACACAGGGGGAUAACACUUAGAAAUAGGUGCUAAUACCGCAUGAGCGCACAGGACCGCAUGGUCGAGUGUGAAAAACUGAGGUGGUGUAAGAUGGACCCGCGUCUGAUUAGCUGGUUGGUGAGGUAACGGCCCACCAAGGCGACGAUCAGUAGCCGGCCUGAGAGGGUGGACGGCCACAUUGGGACUGAGACACGGCCCAAACUCCUACGGGAGGCAGCAGUGGGGGAUAUUGGACAAUGGGGGGAACCCUGAUCCAGCGACGCCGCGUGAGUGAAGAAGUAUCUCGGUAUGUAAAGCUCUAUCAGCAGGGAAGAAGAAAUGACGGUACCUGAGUAAGAAGCCCCGGCUAACUACGUGCCAGCAGCCGCGGUAAUACGUAGGGGGCAAGCGUUAUCCGGAAUUACUGGGUGUAAAGGGAGCGUAGACGGUGAUGUAAGUCUGGAGUGAAAGGCGGGGGCCCAACCCCCGGACUGCUCUGGAAACUAUGUGACUGGAGUGCAGGAGAGGUGAGCGGAAUUCCUAGUGCAGCGGUGAAAUGCGUAGAUUUUUGGGAGAACACCAGUGGCGAAGGCGGCUCACUGGACUGUAACUGACGUUGAGGCUCGAAA
rnacentral:rRNA from 1 species